GUAAUUGUGAGGGUUGUCACAUUUUUCAGUCCGAUAUCGCUGCCGCAAAGCGCAAUGGCGUUCACCGGAGCUCCGGUGGUUGAGCGGUAGUUGUGAGUUCUUAUUUAGAAGUUGAAACGGGCCACCGGCUCUUUUGUUUAGAGUUAUGUUGGUUCGAUGUUGUGCGCUCUUGAUGUAAGCCCUAAUUUUAUGGAUGAUAUCUGAUGUUGUUUUACUUGAUGAUGGUGAUGUAAACCCUAAUUUUGGGGUGAUCUGAGGCUUGGAGACUGUGGCAGUGUAGGGCGGAAGUAAGUCGUUGCCGGCGGCCGUUUCAACUUCUAAGUUCUAUGACGAAGAUCAUUGAUUGUUUGAGUUGAGCUCGAUAAGUAGUUGAAAAAUGGAGAUCAAAUAUUUCUGAAAUAAGCUUGAGCUUGAGAGCUUGAUGUAAAAGCAUGAAGAGAAACCCAAUCAUCAUAACAUCAAGAUCCAUUGUUCCAAAGGAAGUCUUGGAAAGAUGGAAGAGCAUUCUGUGCGAGUCUGUGAUCAUGGAGUCUGAUAAGUUCUACUGCCCGUUUAAAGAUCGUUCUACAAUGUUGGUUGAUGACGGUGGGGUUGCUGUGACACAAUCAGAAUGCCCGAAUUGCAACUUAAAAUGAAUGAAGAAAAAAAGACUUUAGGUCUACAACCCAAUCCAGGACGAAAAAGCUUCAAGCAGCUGUUUUUUGCUAAUAUUGUAGACCUAAAGAUCUUUUGUGCUUCAUUUGUUUUAAAAAUUCUGUUUUUUUUUUUUUUGUUCUAUUUCAAUAAUUUUUAUAGAAAUUGGUCAGUUGGGUGUUUGGGCGGAGGUUUGAUCGAACCGAAUUCAAUAAGGUUUUGAACAAGAUGAUCGUGUUGAACAACAGAAGCAUUUUAUGGAACUUGCUUGCAAUUCUUGAAAAUAUAUUAUGUGUUUAAGAAAGUGUUUAUUUUUAGAUUUUCAGAUUUUAAUAGGUGUCCAAUUCAUCUGGUGGAUGAAGAAUUGAUUGGUUAUUACCUUAAAGGGAAGGUCCAAGGGCUUGAAAUCAAACUUGAAGUGAUUCCGUUGGUAGAAACGUCCAAAUGUGAUCCAUGGGAGUUGCCCGGUGUUAUCGAAGAACUCGCGUCUGCGGUGGUUGGAGGAGUGGUGUUGUUUUCGGUCAACGUGCCUAACAAAGAUGCUGAAAGAAGAUUCGAGUGAGAUUCUGCGGCUCCGAUUUUGACGAAUUUGAGUACGAUAGUGCCGAAAAACGGAUUCUGCGGCAUAAGUUUAUGGCGAGACGGUUGGCAAGAACAAGACGCCUUUAGUCCUUAAAAGACAAUAGAGGUGCCAUAAAAUCCAUUGUCAACGGGGUCUUCAAUAGAAAUGCCGAAACAACAAAUACCGUUGGCACACCACCUGUCAAAUCCACCUCAGCUGCGACUCAAGCAACUCCAAUUCCUAACACACCAGCUGCAACUGCAACUGAAGAUGAACACGCAUUCGCAAAACGACAGCUUUUCCAAACACCAGUUUACAGUGUAAUGAAGCACAUACCCAACGCUGACUCCUGCUAUUAGCAUUGGGUUAGGCAUUGGACAGAAAAAUGAGGUGUUCCUACUAGCAUGCCGGAGGCUAUGACGGCGCAGAAACGAAAGGCCUUUUAAGUGCUAUAAUACUCCCUUUCGGAAGCUGAUCGAGUUAUUGGUGGGUUGUUUCCCAAGUGGAAGAAUAUAUCAUAGGAUAACAGGUCGAAUGGAGUUGAAGACAGAUUUCUAUGUAGGUCUCAUGGUGGUUAGGUUAGGCUAUGCUCUGCUUCGAUGCCAGUUUCAAGUGUACAAUAUGUUCUCAUAUUCAUGUCAAGCCUUAUCUAUUUGAUAAAUGGAAAAAUAUAAGAUUGUCGUGUUAAAGAGGCGUGAAAAGAAAAA